AAUCCUGGACUGAUUUCAAAUGCAGUUUACAAAUACAAAGGACUAGAUGUUAAAACUCCAAAGUGCCAAAUAUCAAUUUACUCCCGAUGGUGAUGGGAGCCUUCUGCACUCACCUAUGCUCCUCCGAUGUUGAGAAAGGCUAGGCAGACACGUCAUUGGGGUUAUCAAGUGGGCACCUACUUUCAUCAAUGUUUCGCUGAUUGAACCCAGGACGUCUCCAGUCGGCUCAGCGGUGUAUUCUGACAUCCCAGAACCACC